rnacentral:tRNA from 1 species
GCCUCUGUAGUAUAAACAUUACCUUGGUCUUGUAAACCAAAAAUAAGGAACAUAUCCUUCAAAGGCA